UACGAAGGGGACUAGCGUUGUUCGGAAUCACUGGGCGUAAAGCGCACGUAGGCGGACUCGUAAGUCAGGGGUGAAAUCCCGGGGCUCAACCUCGGAACUGCCUUUGAUACUGCGGGUCUUGAGUCCGAUAGAGGUGGGUGGAAUUCCUAGUGUAGAGGUGAAAUUCGUAGAUAUUAGGAAGAACACCGGUGGCGAAGGCGGCCCACUGGAUCGGUACUGACGCUGAGGUGCGAAAGCGUGGGGAGCGAACAGG
rnacentral:rRNA from 1 species